UAUAGUUAUUCGUGUGUGUGUAUAUUCUGUAUGACCUGAUAGCAGAAGAUAUUCCUGAUGCUAACUAAUUGUUCUGGUCUGUUCCCAGAUAAGAGCUUACAUCAAAAGCCGACAAAAGAGAAGAGCCCUACAGCUUCAGGGGCUAGAGUUCCAAGACAAUCAUUCCUUAGAUUCAUUCGCUUCCAACAGUCUUAUAGACAGGGAUGUGGCGGAUGGUCACGGCGGAAUGUCCGGUUCCGGUGGCGGCAGCAUUAGUACCGGCACAGGCCCGGCACAGAAACAACUGAAUGUCCCGGGAGAAUUUAACGGGACGGACCCAUCCAGCAAAGACAGCCGGCCGUCCAGACUACGAGAACUAUCUCGCAAGAAGAACCGGGCGCGCAUUGAGGCCAGCAGUGAUGAAGGAUCUGAUUGUGAGAUGAUAUCAACCGUCUGAUGGUCAUCGGGCUCGACACUUACUUCGUAUUGUCCAGUGUUUGACCACUGGCCGUCUGUGUAAACUAAAGGAAGAUUGGAACUGACUAAAGAUCGGAAGUUCGGGAAAUCGAUUGGUAAAGCAAAGUUCAGCAACUCUAGGGUGAUGAGCUAACUAGUCAAUGAGUUGCCAAGAGUGAUUGCCCCUUAUAAAAAAAAAUCAAAACAUUGAACUAAAAGAGUAUUAGCCGUACAUAUGAUGAAGAGUGAAUAAUGUGAACAAAUAUUUUCAGUAUAAAACUAUUAAAUAUGGCUAAAUAGCAAAUAUUUGUUGGAACACUAUUGCAUUAGAAAUUCUAUAAGAAAGAUUUAGAACUAUGAUUUUUUCUGUUACUCUAUAAAUAGUGUUAGAGGCCAAUUUAUGUGAUUAUAUUUUUUUAAUUUGUAAAUCGUCUAAUCCUAUCAAUGAAACUAUUGAAGAACGAAUAUAUUUGCUGUUUUUAUUCAUAAUUUAUAUAGUAUAAGUAGUCUUUAAGGGCACUUAAAUUUGAUUGUAUAUAAAUUGUUUUGUUACCUAUAUGUAGUGCAUUCAAUGAAGUGAUUCUAAUUUUUUACUACUUUGAUUUCUCCAAACUUUACCAACUGCAACUCGUGGUGUCACUAGUGGGUGCGGGCCGGCUCGAGUGACACCUAACCUCUUGACGCCACUGACUGCGACAUAUCUUGUUUACAUUUUAGACUAUCACGUGACACACCUCGUGUUGAGUACCGAAAAACAUGGAAGACAAGUAGUUUUUUUGUUUUUUUUAAUUAAAGAUCUUGUGAUAACAAUGAAAUGAAUGUACUCUUUAUUGCGUAUAGACUAUGAUAUAGUUAUGUAUGUAUUGAAGAGUCUGCGUAAGUUAAAUAUUUAGAUGUUGAUGUUUUUGAUAACGCAAAACAGUUUACGGUUAUGAAGUAUGGAAGACACAGGUUGGGUUUAUUUGAAUUUGUCGAAGCCAACUUGUGAAAAUCAAAGUUAGCAGACUGAAGCAUCGACACAGUGUGUGUGUGUGUUUGUUUUUCCUAUCAUCAAAUAAGAGUUAUAUUAGUUUCACUUUUUUUUCUUUAUCAUCAACUCUUGAGUUUAAGUUUCGCUUUUUAUAUAAUUUUUGUAUCACUUGUAAGAAGAAAGUUUGGGAUACAUUCAAUGAAUUAGGUCAGGGUCAAGGUGUAGUAAAUCUUAAAGAAUAAAACAAAAUAUGGAGUUAUUA
rnacentral:sRNA from 1 species